AUUGAAAAGAUUAAAUUUAAUAUUUAAAAUUUUAAAUUUAAAUAUAAAAUUUUUUAUUUAUUUGUUUUAUUUAUUUAUUGAUUUUUAAAGUUAUAUAAAAAAAUUUUGUUUUAUUAUUUUUUUAGAAAUAAUUAUUUUAUUAAUAGUAUUUAGUAAUGUGAAUGAAAAAUUUAAAUAAAAAGAAGUAGAAAUGUUUUUGUACCUUUUGUAUCAGGGUUGAUUAAAAUUAUUUUAAUAAUAUUAAAUAUCUCGAAAAUAAAAGAGCUAAAUUUAUAAAAUUUUUUUUGUGGCAAUAAAAUUAUAAAUAUAGAUUUAGAAAUUAAAUGUUAAUCGAAUUUAUUAAUAUCUAGUUUUUUUAGAAAUAAAUUUAAUUUAGAUAUAAAUAUUUUAUAAAAUAAAAAUUGUUUUUUUUUUUAUAAUUUUUAUAUUAAAAAUUUAUGGGAUAACCUAUAAAUUUAAUAAUAAAAAUAAGUAUUUUAAUAUUUAAAAUUUUAUGGAUAUAAAAUUUAUUUUUAAUUUAAAAAAUUUAAUAAUUAGUUAUUUAGUAUAUAAUAAUAUAUUUAUAUAUAAAUAAAGAUUUAAGAAUUUAUAUUUUAUUUAUCUAUAAAAAUAUAUAUUUAAAUUUUUAAAAUAUAGAAAUAAUGAUUAAAUUAGUAAUAUGUAAUAUAAUAUAAAUUAUUAAUUAAUAAAUUAUAUAAUUUAAAGGAACUCGGCAAAAUUAUUAUUCACCUGUUUAUCAAAAACAUGUCCUAUUGAUAAUAAUUUUAGGUCGAUCUGCUCAAUGAAAUAUUUUUAAUAGCUGCAGUAUAUUGACUGUACAAAGGUAGCAUAAUAAAUUGUCUUUUAAUUGAAGAAUUGAAUGAACGAAUUAAUGAAAUAAUAACUGUCUCUGAAUUAUUAAAUGAAUUUAAAUUUUUAGUUAAAAUUCUAAAAUUUAAUUAUGGGACGAUAAGACCCUAUAGAAUUUUAUUUAAUAUUUUAUUUAUUAAAUAAUUAUUAAUUUGUAAAUAAGAUUUUAAAUUUGAUUGGGAGGAUUGAUAAAUUAAUUAAACUUUAUUUAAUAUUUAAUUUUGAUUUAAAGAUAGAUAUUGAAUUAUAAUUUAUAAUUAAUAGAGUAAAUUACCUUAGGGAUAACAGCGUAAUAUCUUUUGAUAGACCAUAUAGAUAAAGAUGAUUGCGACCUCGAUGUUGAAUUAAGAUUAAAAUUAAACGCAGAAGUUUAAAUUUUGAGUCUGUUCGACUCUUAAAAUCUUACAUGAUUUGAGUUCAAAUCGACGUAAGUCAGAUUGGAUUCUAUCUAUAAUAAAAAUUAAAUUAAUUGUACGAAAGGACCUUAAUUUAUAAAUUAU
rnacentral:rRNA from 1 species